rnacentral:rRNA from 1 species
AGCGAACGCUGGCGGCAGGCCUAACACAUGCAAGUCGAACGGAUCCUUCGGGAUUAGUGGCGGACGGGUGAGUAACACGUGGGAACGUGCCUUUUGGUUCGGAACAACUCAGGAAAACUUGAGCUAAUACCGGAUGUGCCCUUCGGGGGAAAGAUUUAUCGCCAUUAGAGCGGCCCGCGUCUGAUUAGCUUGUUGGUGAGGUAAAGGCUCACCAAGGCUACGAUCAGUAGCUGGUCUGAGAGGAUGAUCAGCCACACUGGGACUGAGACACGGCCCAGACUCCUACGGGAGGCAGCAGUGGGGAAUCUUGCGCAAUGGGCGAAAGCCUGACGCAGCCAUGCCGCGUGAAUGAUGAAGGUCUUAGGAUUGUAAAAUUCUUUCACCGGGGACGAUAAUGACGGUACCCGGAGAAGAAGCUCCGGCUAACUUCGUGCCAGCAGCCGCAGUAAUAC